UUAAUUAAUUUGCUCCACCGGCAGCCAAAAUUUAGCUAGCGAUUAGCAAACAGAAUUUAUACGUAUUCCUUGAACAAAAACUGACAUACAUAAGGGAAUUCAUAUAUAGAAGACCAAAUUAAGUAAUUAACCUAUUUUUGUAUGGAAAUUUUAACAUAUAUGCUAAACGGAAACAGUUUAUACAUAAGUAAACUUAAAGUACAUAUAUACUGAAAGGCAAUAGGUACUAAUUUGGGAUUCCAUCUAGAUACAGAAAAUACCUAGAAAAUUAGUUACAAAUCAGAACGAGCUUAGGUUUUGUGUAGUAUAUUCUAGCCCGUCACUUAUUUUAGGAUCAAAUAUAUAUUCAUCACCCUGGACCAGUAGUACGAAUUUCAUGUUGAUGAUCGAUGAUUAGAAAUGAUCGAUGGUGUCGCAUAACCACCAUCAUCUGGAGACGGAGUUGGUAAAAGGAUGUAAUAUUGUAGAUGAACAGGAAUCAUCCAACUUGCACUCAGUUCUUUGUUGCCGAUGACUUUGCGCAGUAAUGAUUCUCUCGUCACUGACAUAUAAUUAAACAGAUGUAUUAUCUUCAAUACUAAAGUUUAAUUCCUGACGUAAAAAAACAAAAGAAGAGGGGCCAUAUAUAUAGGUAGAUAUAUCAUAUAUAGUAGAAACAUCAUUGAAAUGUAACCAUGUAUUCGAUCGUAAACAUACAUGGAUGUGUAAAUUUACCUGCAGUUAGAGGCCUUGCUUGAGCAACACUGGUGGUGUAACUCCCAACGAUAGCAAACAUAACCAUAAGAAGGAACAAGAGGCAUCUCCUUGUUGAACAAGUCAUGUUGGUUAAUGAUAUUUGAGCCAAGUGCAAUUAAGC
rnacentral:lncRNA from 1 species